rnacentral:rRNA from 1 species
UACGAAGGGGGCUAGCGUUGCUCGGAAUCACUGGGCGUAAAGCGCACGUAGGCGGCUUUUUAAGUCAGGGGUGAAAUCCUGGAGCUCAACUCCAGAACUGCCUUUGAUACUGAGAGGCUUGAGUCCGGGAGAGGUGAGUGGAACUGCGAGUGUAGAGGUUAAAUUCGUAGAUAUUCGCAAGAACACCAGUGGCGAAGGCGGCUCACUGGCCCGGUACUGACGCUGAGGUGCGAAAGCGUGGGGAGCAAACAGG